GUCGAGCGGACAGAUGGGAGCUUGCUCCCUGAUGUCAGCGGCGGACGGGUGAGUAACACGUGGGUAACCUGCCUGUAAGACUGGGAUAACUCCGGGAAACCGGGGCUAAUACCGGAUGCUUGAUUGAACCGCAUGGUUCAAUUAUAAAAGGUGGCUUUUACCUACCACUUACAAAUGGACCCGCGGCGCAUUACCUAGUUGGUGAGGUAACGGCUCACCAAGGCAACAAUGCGUACCCAACCUGAAAGGGUGAUCGGCCACCCGGGGACUGAAACACGGCCCAAACUCCUACGGAAGGCACCAUUAGGGAAUCUUCCGCAUGGGACAAAAGUCUGACGAACCACCGCCCCGGGAGUGAUGAAGGUUUUCGAAUCGAAAACCUCUGUUGUUAGGAAAUAACAAGUACCGUUCAAAUAGGGGGUACCUUGACGGUACCUAACCAAAAAGCCACGGCUAACUACGUGCCAGCAGCCGCGGUAAUACGUAGGUGGCAAGCGUUGUCCGGAAUUAUUGGGCGUAAAGCGCGCGCAGGCGGUUUCUUAAGUCUGAUGUGAAAGCCCCCGGCUCAACCGGGGAGGGUCAUUGGAAACUGGGGAACUUGAGUGCAGAAGAGGAGAGUGGAAUUCCACGUGUAGCGGUGAAAUGCGUAGAGAUGUGGAGGAACA
rnacentral:rRNA from 1 species